GUCUUAUUUCUAUGUAUAUAGAAGUUCAUGUUGCUUCUUCGCUCAAUAGCUGAUGGUUGGCUCUCCUAUCUUAUUGUCUAGCAUACUUUGACCUGUGAAUUAUGUAUAUAGAAGUUCAUGCUGCUUCUUAGCUCAGUAGCUGAUGGCAGGCUCUUUUUAAUAGGGAGGCUACUGAGAAUUAUGAAGAUAGGUGUUCAAAAAUGGCAAGUUUUUGUGGACACACAUGUCUUUGUAACCUUAGAGCCUGCCGUGUAACAUAUUAUUAAUGCAUCCUAUAGAUGCAGACCUCCCCAGUAAUGAAAAUGAACACACCACUAGAGUUACACGCUAGCGAUAUAUACACUUGAGCGAUGUUUGAGAAAUUUGGCGAGGUCCUGUAUGAAGCAGGGCAGUACUCAAAACCUAUUUUUUCUGACGGUACCAUCCAGAGAAACAUGACAAGUGGUACAGGGUUUUGUACAAAGUUGAAGUUGUUGAGCAGGUCAAGGAACUCGCAUGUUUUGGAGCACACAUGAUUGCUGUUCUACCACACGGUUAUGGUCCUUGAUUUCCCCGGUAUAGACCAGAUACCAGUAAAGCACAUUGGGAAACAUUGGACAAAGGACACAAGAGUUGUACUGCCAGAGCACCUGGCUCAUCUUCAGAAGGAUAAAAUUUCAGUGAACUCAAUAACAUUCAGAUGCUCAAACCUAUAGACCCAUGCCCUUGAAGUUAUAAGACUGGGAGAUGCAAACACAAGUGCAUAUGAGUGUGCAAUGGAUCUCCUGAAGAAAGCAGUGGAUAAGAUGACACUUAUACCCACUGUGCAGGAUGGAAUGGGGUUGGAAGACAGAAUUCAGUCAAACAAGGGGAAGAAUAAAGAGCUGACCGCAAUGUGUGCACCUCCCAGCGGAUGUGCAAGCGACACCGAAGGUAGUGCAAUUGGUAAUUUCGUGGGUCUAAAAAGGCUCCAGAACGAAAACGUAAGGCAGUUCGACCAACCAACAGCAGGGACAAGCCUACAUAUGAUGAUCGCGGUGCAAAUAGCAAAAAGUACAAAAAGGCAGCAAAUGCACAAGCUGCGGACUGGUGCGGUACAAGUAAGCGCACUCGCUUUGUAGUAUAUGUCGUGAGCCAGAUUACAAGAGCACCAACUGUCCACAGAGAGGUGAUCUUCCUCAAAAGGAAAGAAAAGAAGCUAAGUGGUGAAACGGUUGUGCUGCAUGUUGUUGAAAAUGCUACUUAAAAAGGAGAUGUGCGGGUCACCUAAUCAUUCAGCAUUUUUAUUUGUGUGUUGUUGACGGCUCCUUGGCUGUUUGCCGGAACAUUGUGUUAAGUCUAAUAAUAGCUGUUAACAAGCAUUGUGUGCUCUUGUCUUCAGUAUGUCUGGUUUGUAUGCAUGUUUAUCAUAAUCUGUGAAAAUUCAGUGACAUAUCAUUUGGGGUGUGCAUGUUCCCAGAGGUUUCAGUAUUUUUUAAUCGCAAGCCAAUUUGGUCUAA